CGCCUGGCGGCGUGCCUAAUACAUGCAAGUCGAGCGAAUGGAUUAAGAGCUUGCUCUUAUGAAUUUAGCGGCGGACGGGUGAGUAACACGUGGGUAACCUGCCCAUAAGACUGGGAUAACUCCGGGAAACCGGGGCUAAUACCGGAUAACAUUUUGAACCGCAUGGUUCGAAAUUGAAAGGCGGCUUCGGCUGUCACUUAUGGAUGGACCCGCGUCGCAUUAGCUAGUUGGUGAGGUAACGGCUCACCAAGGCAACGAUGCGUAGCCGACCUGAGAGGGUGAUCGGCCACACUGGGACUGAAACACGGCCCAGACUCCUACGGGAGGCAGCAGUAGGGAAUCUUCCGCAAUGGACGAAAGUCUGACGGAGCAACGCCGCGUGAGUGAUGAAGGCUUUCGGGUCGUAAAACUCUGUUGUUAGGGAAAAACAAGUGCUAGUUGAAUAAGCUGGCACCUUGACGGUACCUAACCAGAAAGCCACGGCUAACUACGUGCCAGCAGCCGCGGUAAUACGUAGGUGGCAAGCGUUAUCCGGAAUUAUUGGGCGUAAAGCGCGCGCAGGUGGUUUCUUAAGUCUGAUGUGAAAACCCCACGGCUCAACCGUGGAGGGUCAUUGGGAAACUGGGGAGACUUGAGUGCAAAAGAGGAAAGUGGUAUUCCUUGUGUAGCGGUGAAAUGCGUAGACAUCUAGAGGAACACCAUUGGGGAAC
rnacentral:rRNA from 1 species